rnacentral:rRNA from 1 species
AACGAACGCUGGCGGCAGGCCUAACACAUGCAAGUCGAGCGCCUCGCAAGAGGAGCGGCAGACGGGUGAGUAACGCGUGGGAAACUACCCUUUGGUACGGAACAACUCGGCGAAAGCUGAGCUAAUACCGUAUGUGUCCUUCGGGAGAAAGAUUUAUCGCCAAAGGAUGUGCCCGCGUCGGAUUAGCUAGUUGGUGGGGUAACGGCCCACCAAGGCGACGAUCCGUAGCUGGUCUGAGAGGAUGAUCAGCCACACUGGGACUGAGACACGGCCCAGACUCCGACGGGAGGCAGCAGUGGGGAAUAUUGGACAAUGGGGGCAACCCUGAUCCAGCCAUGCCGCGUGAGUGAUGAAGGCCUUAGGGUUGUAAAGCUCUUUCGCCCGCGAAGAUAAUGACUGUAGCGGGAGAAGAAGCCCCGGCUAACUUCGUGCCAGCCGCCGCGGUAAAAC